AUAGAAGAGCUUGCUUUUCUUGAGAGUGGCGCACGGGUGCGUAACACGUAUGUAACCUACCCAUAUCAGGGGGAUAGCCUCUCGAAAGAGAGAUUAAGCCCGCAUAAUAUCAGUUUAUAGCAUUAUAGAGUGAUCAAAUAUUUAUAGGAUAUGGAUGGGCAUGCGGAACAUUAGCUAGUUGGUAAGGUAACGGCUUACCAAGGCUACGAUGUUUAGGGGAUCUGAGAGGAUGACCCCCCACACUGGUACUGAGACACGGACCAGACUCCUACGGGAGGCAGCAGUAAGGAAUAUUGGUCAAUGGGCGGAAGCCUGAACCAGCCAUGCCGCGUGCAGGAAGACGGCCCUACGGGUUGUAAACUGCUUUUGCAGGGGAAUAAACCUCGUUACGUGUAACGAGUUGAAUGUACUCUGAGAAUAAGGAUCGGCUAACUCCGUGCCAGCAGCCGCGGUAAUACGGAGGAUCCGAGCGUUAUCCGGAUUUAUUGGGUUUAAAGGGUGCGUAGGCGGCCUAUUAAGUCAGGGGUGAAAGACGGUAGCUUAACUAUCGCAGUGCCUUUGAUACUGAUGGGCUUGAAUGUAGUUGAGGUAGGCGGAAUGUGACAAGUAGCGGUGAAAUGCAUAGAUAUGUCACAGAACACCAAUUGCGAAGGCAGCUUACUAAAGUAUGAUUGACGCUGAGGCACGAAAGCGUGGGGAUCAAACAGGAUUAGAUACCCUGGUAGUCCACGCCCUAAACGAUGAAUACUCGAUGUUGGCGAUAUACAGUCAGCGUCAAAGCCGAAAGCGUUAAGUAUU
rnacentral:rRNA from 1 species